rnacentral:rRNA from 1 species
AGCGUUAUCCGGAAUUAUUGGGCGUAAAGCGCGCGUAGGCGGUUUUUUAAGUCUGAUGUGAAAGCCCACGGCUCAACCGUGGAGGGUCAUUGGAAACUGGAAAACUUGAGUGCAGAAGAGGAAAGUGGAAUUCCAUGUGUAGCGGUGAAAUGCGCAGAGAUAUGGAGGAACACCAGUGGCGAAGGCGACUUUCUGGUCUGUAACUGACGCUGAUGUGCGAAAGCGUGGGGAUCAAACAGGAUUAGAUACCCUGGUAGUCCACGCCGUAAACGAUGAGUGCUAAGUGUUAGGGGGUUUCCGCCCCUUAGUGCUGCAGCUAACGCAUUAAGCACUCCGCCUGGGGAGUACGACCGCAAGGUUGAAACUCAAAGGAAUUGACGGGGACCCGCACAAGCGGUG